GCGGCUGAUUGAACGCGAGUGGACAAGGCACCUGCCCGGUAAGCAGAAGGGUGUGGGUUCGAUUCCCGCCCCUGGACA
rnacentral:tRNA from 1 species